AUUGAACGCUGGCGGUAUGCUUUACACAUGCAAGUCGAACGGUAGAGGGGGCAACCCCUCGAGAGUGGCGAACGGGUGAGUAAUAUAUCGGAACGUGCCCAGUCGUGGGGGAUAACGUAGCGAAGGUUACGCUAAUACCGCAUACGUUCUAAGGAUGAAAGCGGGGGAUCGCAAGACCUCGCGCGAUUGGAGCGGCCGAUAUCAGAUUAGGUAGUUGGUGGGGUAAAGGCUCACCAAGCCAACGAUCUGUAGCUGGUCUGAGAGGACGACCAGCCACACUGGAACUGAGACACGGUCCAGACUCCUACGGGAGGCAGCAGUGGGGAAUUUUGGACAAUGGACGCAAGUCUGAUCCAGCCAUUCCGCGUGCAGGAUGAAGGCCCUCGGGUUGUAAACUGCUUUCGUACGGAACGAAAAGGUCUCUCUUAAUACGGGGGGCUCAUGACGGUACCGUAAGAAUAAGCACCGGCUAACUACGUGCCAGCCGCCGCCGUAA
rnacentral:rRNA from 1 species